UAUAAAUAAAGCCGGAAAGAAUACUCUAAGAGUAAUAAAAGAAAAAAUAUGCAUAAAAAGUAAAAUUUAAAUUUUUUAAGAUGUUGACUAUACAAUACAAAAUUCAAGACAAUUUUACUGGUGUUCCGUGAGAUUAGUUAGCAUUCUCCUUAACUUUUAAAAUGUUUAGUUUUCACUAUAAGUUUAGUUUCUAUAACAGUAUCGUUUACAUGUGAUGAUGGCAUCUUCUUCAAUUCCUGUAAAGGAUGCAGAAGGUGAGAAGCCAAAGGUGCCAAAUUGGCUAAAUCUUCCAAGAGACAUUACAGCAAACAUCCUUGGAAGGCUUAGUACCAUUUAUUUGGUAACAAGUGUAUGUCUAGUUUGUCCUUUAUGGUGGAACAUAUGCAAGGAUCCUCACAUUUGGCGCACCAUUCAGAUAAACUACUUUGAAACUUAUUACCGCCGCUACAUUAAUUAUUUUGAUGAGAUCCUUCGUUAUGCUGUUGAUCGAAGUUGCGGUCACCUAGAAGACAUUGUAAUUGACACUUUUUGCAGUGAUGAACUCCUUGAAUAUAUAGCUGAAAAUGCCAGUAACCUUCGAUGCUUGCGACUAGAAGAAUGCCGGAGAAUUUCAGAGAAAGGAUUUAUUGAAGCUGUGAGAAAGCUUCCUCUACUAGAGGAGGUGUACAUUAAUUCAAUAAGCUGCCUAACAAAGGAUUCUCUUGAAGCACUAGGCCGGUCAUGCCCACAUCUAAAAUCGCUUGAAUUUGUGAGAGAAGGAAUAGGGCAUUCAAUUAUUGUGGGUUUUGAUGAUAAUGAUGCUGUUGCUAUUUCAGAAACAAUGCCUAGACUACGCAGUCUUGAUAUCAACCGAAACAGGAUCACAAAUAUUGGGCUUCUUGCAAUUCUUGACGGAUGUCCUCUUCUUGAAUAUCUUAACCUUGAACGAAGUCUGUAUCUUGAUUUGAGCGAAAGUUUGAGGAAAAGAUGUCUUGAGCAAAUUAAGGAUUUACGACUGCUUGACAAUAAAGAUGACCUCUUGAUGUAUUAUCCAUCAGAUCAUUCUCAAUCAGAUGAGUAUUAUCCAUCAGAUCAUUCUGAAAGUGGAGGUCUAAGUGAUGAUGAAAAUCUGAGGCAAUGGUAAUUGGUUUAGUUACAUCUAUUCUUAAACACAUAGCUAACAGGAUUGAGUGAAGUUGUGAAAUUGUUAUAACUUAUAAGUAUUCUACAUCUAUUCUUCAAGCAUUUUGAUCUUCAACAAAAUCUAUCACAGGACUGGUACAAGAUGAUAUAACGAUGGCAGACAAAACGGCAAUGAUAAGAUCAUAAGAUUAGAGAGCUUAAUGACUGGAAAAACAAAGUCCAUCCCUUAACAUUCACAUUCCCAAAUGUUUUCGAGCACAAUUUAACAAGUGUCACAAAACUAAAUCAUUAAUUAA